GAUCAAAUAUGUUUUGAAUGACAUGAUACGUAUGAUUUGGUAUCUAAUGAGAUGGUAUCCUUGAGAAUUCUUGUAUUCUGCCUUGCAUUAUGAUGCCUUACUCGUUUGAAACCGUUCCUUUUGUUCUGAAUAUGCUUUGUCACUUGCUGAGCCGUUUUUGGCUCACUCCGUUGUUAUAUAAAUCUUUCAGGUCAGCUUGUCACUCUUCGAGAUGUUGAUUUGGGCUGAGGUAGUGGAUAGCUAUUCAGAAUUAUGGGCAAGUCUGGGUGGUUAUUAUGAUAUUGUUGUAUAAGUAUGUUUUGUAUGUAAUGAAAUGUUGUCGAUGAAUCGAAAUGGAUAUACUGUGUAAAAGCGUUAGAAGAUCUCUCUUAUUUGGAAUUUCGGAAUGUUAAGUCUAAUUUAUGACGAUAUGAACUUGUGGUGAAUAGUUGGAGUUCUGAUUGUAUAAUUUAUUUAGCUUGUGGAUUUAUAAAUGUUGUUCAUGUUUGUCAAGUUGGCUUGGGUUGCCAUAAAUGUGAAUUAUCGAGUGAUGUGAUAUAUGAUUUUAAAAUGCACAGGUUUUAUGGAUGUGAAUUUGAUUGAAUGUUUUUCAGUGUCCUCAAACGUUAGUUUGGAUCCUGGAUGGAUUGGUC
rnacentral:lncRNA from 1 species